ACGGGUGAGUAACACGUGGAUGAUCUACCCUUGAGCGGGGGAUAACAGUCCGAAAGGAUUGCUAAUACCGCAUACGUCAGCUGGCGAUGGCCAGUUGGGAAAGCAGCCCUCUUCAUGAAAGGUUGCACUCGAGGAUGAGUCCGCGUCCCAUCAGCUAGUUGGUAGGGUAAUGGCCUACCAAGGCUAAGACGGGUAGCUGGUCUGAGAGGAUGAUCAGCCACACUGGAACUGAGACACGGUCCAGACUCCUACGGGAGGCAGCAGUGGGGAAUAUUGGGCAAUGGGCGCAAGCCUGACCCAGCCACGCCGCGUGAGUGAUGAAGGCCUUCGGGUCGUAAAGCUCUGUGGGGAGGGACGAAAAAACGAUGGCCAAUAUCCAUUGGACUGACGGUACCUCCUUAGCAAGCACCGGCUAACUCUGUGCCAGCAGCCGCGGUAAUACAGAGGGUGCAAACGUUGCUCGGAAUCAUUGGGCGUAAAGCGCACGUAGGCGGCCUAGCAAGUAGGGAGUGAAAGCCCUCGGCUUAACCGAGGAAGUGCUUUCUAAACUACUAGGCUUGAAUACUGGAGAGGGUCGCGGAAUU
rnacentral:rRNA from 1 species